GGAUGAGGAAAUGGAUGAAUUUAACUAUGAAGAUUCAGAUGAUGAACUGAUUGCUGAGAGCAGUAACAUCCAACUGCCCAAAGUAGAAGACAGAGAUGUUGGUAGCAUUUUGAUUGGGUUGAAGGAAGUUCGUCUGAGAUACAAAGAUUUGAGGCAAGCUUUUGGUUCCCGUGAAAGGCGGUUUAUGGAGACUCAACUACACAAAUACAUGAGGGCUGUUGGUGCUGAGCUUUCUGAA
rnacentral:misc_RNA from 1 species